GGCUACGUGGUGUAGUGGUUAAAAAUGCCUGGCUGAUAUGUGUGCCCAGUCACACAGUAUAAUGGGUUCGAAUCCCAUCGUAGUUU